rnacentral:tRNA from 2 species
AUCUAAAUAGUUUAAAGGUAAAAUGUUGGUUUGUGGUGCCGAUGAUAUAUAGUUGUAUUUUGGAUU